CUUGAAACUUAUGAGAGGUCCAGCCUGCCCAGUGACUCAGUUCAACGGCCGCGGUAUCCUAACCGUGCGAAGGUAGCGUAAUCACUUGUUCUUUAAAUGAGGACUAGUAUGAAUGGCACCACGAGGGCUAUACUGUCUCCUUUUUCCAAUCAAUGAAACUGAUCUCCCCGUGAAGAAACGGGGAUAAGCCUAUAAGACGAGAAGACCCUAUGGAGCUUCAAACAACAAUAGCACUGGCCCUCAUUUUUACGUUAAUAGACACAACCAUUAUUCUAGCCAGCAUGACUAUUAGUUUUAGGUUGGGGUGACCGCGGAGCAAAAAUUAACCUCCACAUUGAACGGAGCUUCUCCUGAGCUAAAAAGCAACGAUUUUAAGCACCAAUAAAUUGACAUUAAUUGACCCAACAUGUUGAGCAACGAAC
rnacentral:rRNA from 1 species